rnacentral:rRNA from 1 species
GAUGAACGCUGGCGGCGUGCUUAACACAUGCAAGUCGAACGGAAAGGCCCAAGCUUGCUUGGGUACUCGAGUGGCGAACGGGUGAGUAACACGUGGGUGAUCUGCCCUGCACUUCGGGAUAAGCCUGGGAAACUGGGUCUAAUACCGGAUAGGACGAUGGUUUGGAUGCCAUUGUGGAAAGUUUUUUCGGUUUGGGAUGAGCUCGCGGCCUAUCAGCUUGUUGGGGGGGUAUGGGCCUACCAAGGCGCCGACGGGUAGCCGGCCUGAGAGGGUGUAGGGCCACAUUGGGACUGAGAGACGGGCCAGACUCCGACGGGGGGCAGCAGUGGGGAAUAUUGGACAAUGGGCGCAAGCCUGAUGCAGCGAGGCCGCGUGGGGGAUGACGGCCUUCGGGUUGUAAACACCUUUCGCUAGGGACGAAGCGUUUUUGUGACGGUACCUGGAGAAGAAGCACCGGCUAACUACGUG